GGGACUUAAGCAUAUCAAUAAGCGGAGGAAAAGAAACCAACAGGGAUUGCCCCAGUAACGGCGAGUGAAGCGGCAACAGCUCAAAUUUGAAAUCUGGCCCCCCGGGCCCGAGUUGUAAUUUGAAGAGGAUGCUUCUGGCAAGGUGCCGUCCGAGUUCCCUGGAACGGGACGCCGCAGAGGGUGAGAGCCCCGUACGGUCGGACGCCGAGCCUCUGUGAAGCUCCUUCGACGAGUCGAGUAGUUUGGGAAUGCUGCUCAAAAUGGGAGGUAAACCCCUUCUAAAGCUAAAUACCGGCCAGAGACCGAUAGCGCACAAGUAGAGUGAUCGAAAGAUGAAAAGCACUUUGAAAAGAGAGUUAAAAAGCACGUGAAAUUGUUGAAAGGGAAGCGCUUGCGACCAGACUCGCGCCCGUCGGAUCAGCCGUCGCUCGUCGGCGGUGCACUCCGGCGGGCUCGGGCCAGCAUCAGUUCGCCUCGGGGGGAGAAAGGCGGCGGGAAUGUGGCUCUACGGAGUGUUAUAGCCCGCCGCGUAAUACCCCCGGGCGGACUGAGGACCGCGCGUAUGCAAGGAUGCUGGCGUAAUGGUCGUCAGCGACCCGUCUUGAAACACGGACCAAGGAGUCGUCCUAAUAUGCGAGUGUACGGGUGUCAAACCCCUGCGCGUAAUGAAAGUGAACGGAGGUGAGAGCUUCGGCGCAUCAUCGACCGAUCCUGAUGUUCUCGGAUGGAUUUGAGUAAGAGCAUAUUGGGCCGGACCCGAAAGAAGGUGAACUAUGCCUGUGUAGGGUAAAGCCAGAGGAAACUCUGGUGGAGGCUCGCAGCGGUUCUGACGUGCAAAUCGAUCGUCAAACAUGGGCAUGGGGGGCGAAAGACUAAUCGAACCUUCUAGUAGCUGGUUUCCGCCGAAGUCCCCCCCUCAGGAAA
rnacentral:rRNA from 1 species